GAUGAACGCUGGCGGCGUGCCUAAUACAUGCAAGUCGAGCGAACAGACGAGGAGCUUGCUCCGCUGACGUUAGCGGCGGACGGGUGAGUAACACGUGGAUAACCUACCUAUAAGACUGGGAUAACUUGGGGAAACCGGAGCUAAUACCGGAUAAUAUAUUGAACCGCAUGGUUCAAUAGUGAAAGACGGUUUUGCUGUCACUUAUAGAUGGAUCCGCGCCGCAUUAGCUAGUUGGUAAGGUAACGGCUUACCAAGGCAACGAUGCGUAGCCGACCUGAGAGGGUGAUCGGCCACACUGGAACUGAGACACGGUCCAGACUCCUACGGGAGGCAGCAGUAGGGAAUCUUACGCAAUGGGCGAAAGCCUGACGGAGCAACGCCGCGUGAGUGAUGAAGGUCUUCGGAUCGUAAAACUCUGUUAUUAGGGAAGAACAAAUGUGUAAGUAACUAUGCACGUCUUGACGGUACCUAAUCAGAAAGCCACGGCUAACUACGUG
rnacentral:rRNA from 1 species